rnacentral:rRNA from 1 species
ACGCUGGCGGCGUGCCUAACACAUGCAAGUCGAACGGAGUUAUCUGGAUCGAAGGCUUCGGCCAAGUGAAUUUUAACUUAGUGGCGGACGGUGAGUAACGCGUGAGCAACCUGCCUUUCAAAGCGGGAUAACGACUGGAAACGGUCGCUAAUACCGCAUGAUGCAUAUUGGUCGCAUGUCCGAUAUGCCAAAGAUUUAUCGAUGAAAGAUGGGCUCGCGUCUGAUUAGAUAGUUGGUGGGGUAACGGCCUACCAAGUCGACGAUCAGUAGCCGGCCUGAGAGGGUGAACGGCCACAUUGGAACUGAGACACGGUCCAAACUCCUACGGGAGGCAGCAGUGGGGAAUAUUGCACAAUGGGGGAAACCCUGAUGCAGCGACGCCGCGUGAGUGAAGAAGUAUUUCGGUAUGUAAAGCUCUAUCAGCAGGGAAGAUAAUGACGGUACCUGACUAAGAAGCUCCGGCUAAAUACGUG